AUAUUGUCCCCCAAUUUUUUUCUGUUCCCUGGAAUUUUGAUGCAGGUGAAUGGCUAGUGGGAACAGCCUUUUCUAGGUUCAUGCAGCCAGAAUUCACUUUAUUGGACAGUAGUAUGGUAGCAAAGAAAUCAAUGACAGUAUUUCUCCUGUGAGUUUUUCUCCUGUUUUCUUUUUUUCUACUGAUUUGCCACCAAACAUAAUUCAUUCCAUUAUACAUAGCAAUAAGCUGAAAAAUGACCAAAGCUCUUAAAAAUCUCCAUGAAAAUUUGGUUGUCAUAACUUUCCUUAAUCAAAAACACGAGUAGCCCAAACUUCUACAAAGGAAAAGGUAUCGAAUGUUUGACUUGGGGGCAACAGGAAGAAAAGGGGUCUUUCUUAGUAUUUUCUAUUCAGAAGUUGACCACAGAACAAACCUAUUAUUAAUGAUAAUAUUUUUUAAAUAAACAAAGAAAAUAUGAGCCUUAAUGCAUGAAAGCUGUAAAAGAUUGAAAAGCUGGUCUGGCUGGAAAAUACUAUGUGUGUGUCAAAAUGAUUUUCUCUACCGUUUGUAAAAAUGUAAUUAUCCAUGAUAUGCUAUUACCCAUGAUAUGCUACAAGGGUGAAGGAUUUCAAGUAAAUCCAUUGGAAGCUGAGGAUUCGCUUUUGGUAUUUCAACACCAGAGAAUAUUUAUUUUCCCUUGUUUGAGUCCACCAAGGCCAGCACAGAUCUGCUAAUGGGGGAGAUGCCUAUUUAAUACUGCACCAAAGAGUCUCAAACAUCAUCACUACAUGGCUCUUUCACAACUUUGUGGAUGCUAAUGGGUAGCAAGGACAGCAGAAGUCUCAGAGAUGAUACAGAGGCUGAAAGUAGCCUUUUUGCUUUUUAAGCUUAAAAAAAAAAAACAAAGCACUAACCAAC
rnacentral:lncRNA from 1 species